UACGUAGGCAGCGAGCGUUGUUCGGAAUUACUGGGCGUAAAGAGUGUGUAGGCGGUGCUCUAAGUUCGGUGUGGAAUCUCCCGGCUUAACUGGGAGGGUGCGCCGGAAACUGGAGUGCUCGAGCGUGGGAGAGGAAAGCGGAAUUCCUGGUGUAGCGGUGAAAUGCGUAGAUAUCAGGAGGAACACCUGCGGUGUAGACGGCUUUCUGGACCAUUGCUGACGCUGAGACACGAAAGCGUGGGUAGCAAACAGG
rnacentral:rRNA from 1 species